CAGUCGCCGCGGUAAUACGAAGGGGGCUAGCGUUGUUCGGAUUUACUGGGCGUAAAGCGCACGUAGGCGGACUUUUAAGUCAGGGGUGAAAUCCCGGGGCUCAACCCCGGAACUGCCUUUGAUACUGGGAGUCUUGAGUUCGAGAGAGGUGAGUGGAAUUGCGAGUGUAGAGGUGAAAUUCGUAGAUAUUCGCAGGAACACCAGUGGCGAAGGCGGCUCACUGGCUCGAUACUGACGCUGAGGUGCGAAAGCGUGGGGAGCAAACAGGAUUAGAUACCCGCGUAGUCCCUGUCUCUUAUAC
rnacentral:rRNA from 1 species